rnacentral:rRNA from 1 species
GAUGAACGCUGGCGGCGUGCCUAAUACAUGCAAGUCGAGCGAACGGACGAGAAGCUUGCUUCUCUGAUGUUAGCGGCGGACGGGUGAGUAACACGUGGAUAACCUACCUAUAAGACUGGGAUAACUUCGGGAAACCGGAGCUAAUACCGGAUAAUAUUUUGAACCGCAUGGUUCAAAAGUGAAAGACGGUCUUGCUGUCACUUAUAGAUGGAUCCGCGCUGCAUUAGCUAGUUGGUAAGGUAACGGCUUACCAAGGCAACGAUGCAUAGCCGACCUGAGAGGGAGAUCGGCCACACUGGAACUGAGACACGGUCCAGACUCCUACGGGAGGCAGCAGUAGGGAAUCUUCCGCAAUGGGCGAAAGCCUGACGGAGCAACGCCGCGUGAGUGAUGAAGGUCUUCGGAUCGUAAAACUCUGUUAUUAGGGAAGAACAUAUGUGUAAGUAACUGAGCACAUCUUGACGGUACCUAAUCAGAAAGCCACGGCUAACUACGUG